GACGAACCGUGCGAACGUUGUUCGGAUUCACUGGGCUUAAAGGGCGCGUAGGCGGGUUGUCAAGUCAGGGGUGAAAGCCUCCAGCUCAACUGGAGAAGUGCCUUUGAUACUGAUGAUCUUGAGGGAGGUAGGGGCAUGUGGAACUUCCGGUGGAGCGGUGAAAUGCGUAGAUAUCGGAAGGAACGCCGGUGGCGAAAGCGGUCUGCUGGACCUCUUCUGACGCUGUGGCGCGAAAGCUAGGGGAGCGAACGGG
rnacentral:rRNA from 1 species